CCUUAAAUAAGCCACAGGUAAGACGUUGGGUGCGGGGCACAGUGGAGGGAGAAUUAGAAGAGGCCGAGGAAGAAGACAUGAAGGUGUGUGCGUGUGUGUCGUCCAGACAAAUGACGAGGAGCCAGAUGUCCAGAAUGCCGACGACGCCCCGCAACCUGGACAAGAUGGCUGACAACCCACAGGCAGAAGCUGGCAAGCUCUCAGGUGAAGGGUGCUCGGGCCUCCGGGGCGGAUGGAUAGCGGCGUGAAGAGCGAUCGGCCGUCACAGAGGCGGCGACAGAUAGCGAGCCAAGGCGCGCCAACGCGGGGAGAUCGGUCUCGAUCGGACUCCAUUUGUCACGACCGAAAUGGAAUGUGAAUAACCUGGAGAAAACCCCAUAGAAGCGUUGGGAAAAACACUCGAGUUCCACACAAGAAAAGCCAGGACCGAGUUACAAACCCGGAACUUCAAAACUACGAGGCAGACGUGCUAACCGCGAGAUCACUGUGCUCCCCACCACUCAGGU